rnacentral:rRNA from 1 species
GACGAACGCUGGCGGCGUGCUUAACACAUGCAAGUCGAACGGAAAGGCCCUGCUUUUGUGGGGUGCUCGAGUGGCGAACGGGUGAGUAACACGUGAGUAACCUGCCCUUGACUUUGGGAUAACUUCAGGAAACUGGGGCUAAUACCGGAUAGGAGCUCCUGCUGCAUGGUGGUGGUUGGAAAGUUUCGGCGGUGGGGGAUGGACUCGCGGCUUAUCAGCUUGUUGGUGGAGUAGUGGCUUACCAAGGCUUUGACGGGUAGCCGGCCUGAGAGGGUGACCGGCCACAUUGGGACUGAGAUACGGCCCAGACUCCUACGGGAGGCAGCAGUGGGGAAUAUUGCACAAUGGGCGGAAGCCUGAUGCAGCAACGCCGCGUGCGGGAUGACGGCCUUCGGGUUGUAAACCGCUUUCGCCUGUGACGAAGCGUGAGUGACGGUAAUGGGUAAAGAAGCACCGGCUAACUACGUG